rnacentral:rRNA from 1 species
UACGUAGGGACCAAGCGUUGUUCGGAUUUACUGGGCGUAAAGGGCGCGUAGGCGGCGUGUUAAGUCAGUUGUGAAAUCUCCAAGCUUAACUUGGAACGGUCAACUGAUACUGAUGUGCUAGAGUGCAGAAGGGGCAACCGGAAUUCUUGGUGUAGCGGUGAAAUGCGUAGAUAUCGCUUGGAACGCCGAAGGUGAAAACAGGCUGCUGGGGUUGCGCCGACGCUGAGACACGAAAGCCAGGGGAGCAAACGGG